GGUCAUCAGGGGUCAGAAGCUCCAGGAUCUGCUCUUUGGCCAGAAGUUGACAUUAGUCGACAGGGGGCGCUGCAUUUCUUCAUGCACAAUCCUGAGCUCACCUGCCUGAUUCCAGGUGCAGGAUAAAAAAAGAAGCAAAGGUUCCGAGGUGUGCUGAGAGGACUGGACCUUCUGGCCUCUGUUCUACUGGUUCCACCUCACCUGCUUGUCAUCUCGCCUCUCUCGUCUCUCCUCCCUCCUCCCUCUUCCUGCAGAGAAAUGCACCGGUCCUCCCUCCUCCACCCCUCUCAGUGUCAGAUGGUACAACCCACUGGCAUCCUCAGCGGUCAGCUCUGUUAGUCUGCACAGAUCCAGUCUGCAGGUUGCAUCCUCUUCCUCCUCUUCUUCGCUGAUUAUGACCCAUUUCAGGAGGGACUGUCACCGAGACAGACACACCGGGAUGAACGUUGAGCUGAGGACCAGUCGCACCACGACAGCCAAGAGAGGAAGUGGUGCCCCCGACAAGUCUGACGGGGAGAUGGACUACGACAGGUACGCUGACAACCACUACAACAGGGUGUUUGACUACCAGUGUGUCCCCUCCUCCGUCCCGGUGGAUCCCACUGCUGUGAAACGGUCCCGUCCUUCAUCCUCCUCCUCCUCUUCCUCCUCCACAGCGGCGCUGAGGGUGAAGCGCAGCAGAGCGUCCGGCAGGCGCAACAGCACGCACGGCCCGUCCUCCAGGAGCAGCCACGCCAAAUUGAAGAUGGCGGAGCUUCUUGCCAUAAAGAGGGAGCUGACGGUGAUCAAGGUUCAGAUCGACAGCCUGUUGGACUGUGUGGACAAGAUGGACAGACAGAGGAAGGACUGCUCAGAACAUGCUCUGAGCAGGGAGCCCAGUGUGUCGGACUCUCCUCACCGAGGUUCAGUCAGCAGCCUGGAGAGAGAAAGUCCUGAGCCAGGAGAGGCCAGCGAGGACGAGCCGCUGCACUACCAGCACUACUACCCCCACAGCUACCCCCACAGGGUAAAUAUGUACACAUACCACCUCCACGCAUCUGUUCAUCCAUAUAUUUUUAUACCGCUUACCCUGAAACAGCGAGGAUGGGGGGGCCUCACACUCACAUUCACACCUACAGGCAAUUUAGAGUCACCAACCAACUGA
rnacentral:lncRNA from 1 species